rnacentral:lncRNA from 1 species
AUGUGGUGGCAGUGCUGAUUUAGUGUGGCGAUGUGUGUGUGUGGGGGGGUGAAAGACAGGCACAGAGAGAGACAGAAAGAUAGAGACAGAGACACAGAGAUGGAGACCCAGAUCUAGACACAGAGACAUGCACAGAUAGAGAUAGCAGAGAGAAGAGACAGGGUGAAGAGAGAUAGCUGUAGAAGCAGAGAGACAGUGGCAUGGAAGUCAGAGGUAGGGAUAGGAGACAGGGACAUAAAGAUCCAGAAAGUAUGAGAAAAAGACAGAGACACAGACCAGAGCCACAAAGACGGAGAUGCAGAUUGGAGACAGAGAUCCCAAAACAGAAGAAAAUGGGAGAGUCAGCCACACAGACAAAGGUGCUGUGGCCGUGGCUGAUCCCUCUGGACCAGGAUGUGGGUAUCCUGGACACCUGGCCUGUGGCUGCUCAGUCUCUGGGUCACCUUCAGCCAUGGGGCAAAUACAGGUGAGCAGUGCCCCCCUUCACAGCAGGAAGGACUCAAGCUGGAACACAGCAUCAACCUAUCAGCCAAUGUAACUGGCUUCAACCUCAUUCGCCGACUCAGCCUCAUGAAGACAACUGCCAUUAAGAAGAUCCGAAACCCCAAGGGGGGGCCUCUCAUCCUGCGGCUGGGAGCAACCCUGCUCACCCAGCCCACGCGCCGAGUGUUCCCUCAAGGACUCCCAGAGGAAUUUGCCCUAGUGCUCACCCUCCNNNNNNNNNNNNNNNNNNCCUGCUGA